rnacentral:rRNA from 1 species
UUGGAGGGCAAGUCUGGUGCCAGCAGCCGCGGUAAUUCCAGCUCCAAUAGCGUAUAUUAAAGUUGUUGCAGUUAAAAAGCUCGUAGUUGAACUUCGGGAUCAAUGAGUUGGUCGUGCCCUUGGUAUGAACUGGCUUUAUUGGUUCUCACCUUCUAAUGAACCAUAAUGUCAUUCAUUUGAUGUUUUGGGGAAUUAGGACUGUUACCUUGAAAAAAUUAGAGUGUUUAAAGCAGGCUCACGCUUGAAUACAUUAGCAUGGAAUAAUGAAAUAGGACGUUUGAUCCUAUUUUGUUGGUUUCUAGGAUCGACGUAAUGAUUAAUAGGGAUAGUUGGGGGCAUUAGUAUUCAAUUGUCAGAGGUGAAAUUCUUGGAUUUAUUGAAGACUAACUACUGCGAAAGCAUUUGCCAAGGAUGUUUUCAUUAAUCAAGAACGAAAGUUAGGGGAUCGAAGACGAUCAGAUACCGUCGUAGUCUUAACCAUAAACUAUGCCGACUAGGGAUCGGAUGAUGUUAAUUUUUUAAUGACUCAUUCGGCGCCUUACGGGAAAC